rnacentral:rRNA from 1 species
UUCAGAGGUGGCAAGCGUUGUUCGGAAUUACUGGGCGUAAAGGGCGCGUAGGCGGCCUUCUAAGUCAGACGUGAAAUCCCCCGGCUUAACCUGGGAACUGCGUCUGAUACUGGGAGGCUAGAGUGCGGGAGAGGGAUGCGGAAUUCCAGGUGUAGCGGUGAAAUGCGUAGAGAUCAGGAAGAACACCGGUGGCGAAAGCGCUCUGCUAGGCCGCAACUGACACUCAUGGACGAAAGCUAGGGGAGCGAAUGGG